CACGAAUGUCUUUAUCAAAUUUUACUAAACAAAUUACUUAAGAUUAAUUAUGGUAAACAAAACACGUUAAGCGUCUUAAUUAAGUUAAUUCUUUCAUAAGCAGCUUUCCCUCCUGCUGAGUGCCUGCAAAACUAAUCCAAGUUAAAGUUGAAGAAAAGGGCUUCUUACAACUCGUGUAAGUCUCUUAUAAGAAUAAAAAAUCUGAAAAAAUUUAGUUUAAGAAAAGGGCUUCUUGCACUUUUUUGCUAAAAAAUUCUUGCUAAAAUAUAUUUUUCCAGCAAUUUUUUUUUCCAUCUUUAUUGUGACUUAAGCAGAGUUUCCCCAAUGGCGGUGGCAUCAUCUGUAGUCUCUCCACUGUGCACUUGGAUAGUAGCAGCGGGCAUGUCUGUGGCAAGUGAAAAAACCCAUAUUUUUAAGUCACCACACAAUUUACAGUUCUCAAAGAGGCUGAGUAGAAGAAAAUUGGUGGUUCAGAGCAGUAAUUAUGGUGGGGGCUUGAUGUCUUCUUUAUGUGGUUCUGUAAAUCACUGUCUGAUGAAUUUUGGCCCGUCUUUUGAACCCUGUCCAGAGGGCUAUAAUUCAGUGGGGAUAUCUUUUUCUUUAGCUUUGUUUGGUGAAAAUGAGUUCUCAGUUUUUGGGUACAAGGCUGUGCCAGGGACUCGCAAACAUAGGAAGUCGAGUAAGGCUGCUGCUUCUGCUAAUGAGUCGUACU
rnacentral:lncRNA from 1 species